UCCCCUGUCAUCUAAAGGCAGGAUGCCUCGCUGUUAACGAGGUCACGCAGGUUCGACCCCUGCUGGGGGAG
rnacentral:tRNA from 1 species